GUGGUUGUUUGCUCCUCCAUAUUGGAGGGGAUUUUUUCACGUAAAUCUUCGUGUCUAUUUUAUUCUCUUCCCUAACAGUAUUGUUCCUCCAGCAGAAGGACCUCUCAAGUUCAAAAGAAAGGGUCAAGAUCUCUUUUAUGAACACACCUUGUCUCUGACCGAAGCUCUAUGUGGGUUCCAAUUUGUUCUUACACAUCUGGACAACUAGCAGCUUUCGAUAAAAUCAAUUCCUGGCGAAGUUGUUAAACCUGACCAAUUCAGGGCGAUAAACGACGACGAGAUGUCGAUCUUGAAGGGGAAGCUCUACCUUCAUUUCACGGUGGAGUUCUGGCACCGGAGCAGUGCAAGGCUCUUGAGUCGGUACUUCUACCAAAGCUUUCGUCCAAGCGGAUAUACAUGGAGAUAGAUGAAUGUAAGGAGACAACCAUGCAUUGAUGUGAACAACAUCGAGGAAUAGAUGCGCAAGAAGCAGGCUCAUGCUACUCAGGAGGUGUAUGAGGAGGAUAACAAGAUGUGCAGUGCAUGCAACAAUAAGAAGACUACCAUCACUUGGUUGCUCUUCAAGUGUGCACACUAGUAGAAAAGAGCUCUAAGGUGGCGACACGCAGAAAUUUAUACUGGCGGUUUCAGUUACAGUACACCAGU